UCUAUGUUGGCAAUAAGCGGA
rnacentral:piRNA from 1 species